rnacentral:lncRNA from 15 species
GCGCAGUGACUCCAUGGAACAUUCGACGGGAUCCUGGGAAAUGAUGAUGAAUUAAACAGUGCUGCAUCUGUCUCUGUGUCAUCUGACGGGAAGGAGCCCCUUUUCCCUGCCUGAUGGCUUUAAGGAGGACAGAAACAAAGAAGAGGGUCGUGCAGAAAAGGGAAUGAUUGUUGCCCAAAGAGGGUGAGUCAAAGAAACAGAGGAAUUCCUGCCUGUGCUGUAGAAACAAC